rnacentral:rRNA from 1 species
GACGAACGCUGGCGGCGUGCUUAACACAUGCAAGUCGAACGGAAAGGCCCUGCUUUUGUGGGGUGCUCGAGUGGCGAACGGGUGAGUAACACGUGAGUAACCUGCCCUUGACUUUGGGAUAACUUCAGGAAACUGGGGCUAAUACCGGAUAGGAGCUCCUGCUGCAUGGUGGGGGUUGGAAAGUUUCGGCGGUUGGGGAUGGACUCGCGGCUUAUCAGCUUGUUGGUGGGGUAGUGGCUUACCAAGGCUUUGACGGGUAGCCGGCCUGAGAGGGUGACCGGCCACAUUGGGACGGAGAUACGGCCCGGACUCCCACGGGAGGGAGCAGGGGGGAAUAUUGCACAAGGGGCGGAAGCCUGAUGCAGCAACGCCGCGGGCGGGAGGACGGCCUUGGGGUUGUAAACCGCUUUCGCCUGGGACGAAGCGGGAGUGACGGUAAUGGGGAAAGAAGCACCGGCAAACUACGU